GUUUCCGUAGUGUAGUGGUUAUCACGUUUGUCUAACACGAAAAAGGUCCCCAGUUUGAAACUGGGUGGAAACA